rnacentral:misc_RNA from 1 species
GGAGUAAAAGUCGUAACAAGGUCUCCGUUGGUGAACCAGCGGAGGGAUCAUUACUGGAAUCGCAAGAUCCCACAACCCUGUGAACCUACCGAAACGUUGCCUCGGCGGGUGCCCGGCCUCUGCGCCGGGCGCUGCGCCCGCCGGCGGCCCCCUACUCUGUCUCUGCAGCGUGGCAUCUCAGAGUCCCAGAAAACAAGUCAAAACUUUCAACAACGGAUCUCUUGGCUCUA